AUUGAACGCUGGCGGCAGGCCUAACACAUGCAAGUCGAACGGUAACAGGAAGCAGCUUGCUGCUUCGCUGACGAGUGGCGGACGGGUGAGUAAUGUCUGGGAGGCUGCCUGAUGGAGGGGGAUAACUACUGGAAACGGUAGCUAAUACCGCAUAAUGUCGCAAGACCAAAGAGGGGGACCUUCGGGCCUCUUGCCAUCGGAUGUGCCCAGAUGGGAUUAGCUUGUUGGUGGGGGAACGGCUCACCAAGGCGACGAUCCCUAGCUGGUCUGAGAGGAUGACCAGCCACACUGGAACUGAGACACGGUCCAGACUCCUACGGGAGGCAGCAGUGGGGAAUAUUGCACAAUGGGCGCAAGCCUGAUGCAGCCAUGCCGCGUGUAUGAAGAAGGCCUUCGGGUUGUAAAGUACUUUCAGCGGGGAGGAAGGGAGUAAAGUUAAUACCUUUGCUCAUUGACGUUACCCGCAGAAGAAGCACCGGCUAACUCCGUG
rnacentral:rRNA from 1 species